CAACCUCAACUCAUAUGGGACUACCCCCUGAAUUUAAGCAUAUUAAUUAGGGGAGGAAAAGAAACUAACAAGGAUUUUCUUAGUAGCGGCGAGCGAAAAGAAAUCAGUUCAGCACUAAGUCACUUUGUCUAUAUGGCAAAUGUGAGAUGCAGUGUAUGGAGCGUCAAUAUUCUAGUAUGAGAAAUUAACGAUUUAAGUCCUUCUUAAAUGAGGCCAUUUACCCAUAGAGGGUGCCAGGCCCGUAUAACGUUAAUGAUUACUAGAUGAUGUUUCCAAAGAGUCGUGUUGCUUGAUAGUGCAGCACUAAGUGGGUGGUAAACUCCAUCUAAAACUAAAUAUAACCAUGAGACCGAUAGUAAACAAGUACCGUGAGGGAAAGUUGAAAAGAACUCUGAAUAGAGAGUUAAACAGUACGUGAAACUGCUUAGAGGUUAAGCCCGAUGAACCUGAAUAUCCGUUAUGGAAAAUUCAUCAUUAGAAUUGUAAUAUUUAAACAAUAUUAUGAUAAUAGUGUGCAUUUUUUCCAUAUAAGGACAUUGUAAUCUAUUAGCAUACCAAAUUUAUCAUAAAGUAUAACUUAUAGUUUAUUCAAAUUAAUUUGCUUGCAUUUUAACACAGAAUAAAUGUUAUUAAUUUGAUAAAGUGCUGAUAGAUUUAUAUGAAUACAGUGCGUUAAUUUUUCGGAAUUAUAUAAUGGCAUAAUUAUCAUUGAUUUUUGUGUUUAUUAUAUGCACUUGUAGGAUUAACAAUGCGAAAGAUUCAGGAUACCUUCGGGACCCGUCUUGAAACACGGACCAAGGAGUCUAACAUAUGUGCAAGUUAUUGGGAUAUAAACCUAAUAGCGUAAUUAACUUGACUAAUAAUGGGAUUAGUUUUUUAACUAUUUAUAGCUAAUUAACACAAUCCCGGGGCGUUCUAUAUAGUUAUGUAUAAUGAUAUUUAUAUUAUUUAUGCCUCUAACUGGAACGUACCUUGAGCAUAUAUGCUGUGACCCGAAAGAUGGUGAACUAUACUUGAUCAGGUUGAAGUCAGGGGAAACCCUGAUGGAAGACCGAAACAGUUCUGACGUGCAAAUCGAUUGUCAGAAUUGAGUAUAGGGGCGAAAGACCAAUCGAACCAUCUAGUAGCUGGUUCCUUCCGAAGUUUCCCUCAGGAUAGCUGGUGCAUUUUAAUAUUAUAUAAAAUAAUCUUAUCUGGUAAAGCGAAUGAUUAGAGGCCUUAGGGUCGAAACGAUCUUAACCUAUUCUCAAACUUUAAAUGGGUAAGAACCUUAACUUUCUUGAUAUGAAGUUCAAGGUUAUGAUAUAAUGUGCCCAGUGGGCCACUUUUGGUAAGCAGAACUGGCGCUGUGGGAUGAACCAAACGUAAUGUUACGGUGCCCAAAUUAACAACUCAUGCAGAUACCAUGAAAGGCGUUGGUUGCUUAAAACAGCAGGACGGUGAUCAUGGAAGUCGAAAUCCGCUAAGGAGUGUGUAACAACUCACCUGCCGAAGCAACUAGCCCUUAAAAUGGAUGGCGCUUAAGUUGUAUACCUAUACAUUACCGCUAAAGUAGAUGAUUUAUAUUACUUGUAAUAUAAAUUUUGAAACUUUAGUGAGUAGGAAGGUACAAUGGUAUGCGUAGAAGUGUUUGGCGUAAGCCUGCAUGGAGCUGCCAUUGGUACAGAUCUUGGUGGUAGUAGCAAAUAAUCGAAUGAGACCUUGGAGGACUGAAGUGGAGAAGGGUUUCGUGUGAACAGUGGUUGAUCACGAGUUAGUCGGUCCUAAGUUCAAGGCGAAAGCCGAAAAUUUUCAAGUAAAAUACAAAUGCCAAACAAAUAUAUAUAUUAUAUAAAAUCUAGCUAAAUUAAUAUACUUGAAUAAUUUUGAACGAAAGGGAAUACGGUUCCAAUUCCGUAACCUGUUGAGUAUCCGUUUGUUAUUAAAUAUGGGCCUCGUGCUCAUCCUGGCAACAGGAACGACCAUAAAGAAGCCGUCGAGAGAUAUCGGAAGAGUUUUCUUUUCUGUUUUAUAGCCGUACUACCAUGGAAGUCUUUCGCAGAGAGAUAUGGUAGAUGGGCUAGAAGAGCAUGACAUAUACUGUUGUGUCGAUAUUUUCUCCUCGGACCUUGAAAAUUUAUGGUGGGGACACGCAAACUUCUCAACAGGCCGUACCAAUAUCCGCAGCUGGUCUCCAAGGUGAAGAGUCUCUAGUCGAUAGAAUAAUGUAGGUAAGGGAAGUCGGCAAAUUAGAUCCGUAACUUCGGGAUAAGGAUUGGCUCUGAAGAUUGAGAUAGUCGGGCUUGAUUGGGAAACAAUAACAUGGUUUAUGUGCUCGUUCUGGGUAAAUAGAGUUUCUAGCAUUUAUGUUAGUUACUUGUUCCCCGGAUAGUUUAGUUACGUAGCCAAUUGUGGAACUUUCUUGCUAAAAUUUUUAAGAAUACUAAUUGGGUUAAACCAAUUAGUUCUUAUUAAUUAUAACGAUUAUCAAUUAACAAUCAAUUCAGAACUGGCACGGACUUGGGGAAUCCGACUGUCUAAUUAAAACAAAGCAUUGUGAUGGCCCUAGCGGGUGUUGACACAAUGUGAUUUCUGCCCAGUGCUCUGAAUGUCAAAGUGAAGAAAUUCAAGUAAGCGCGGGUCAACGGCGGGAGUAACUAUGACUCUCUUAAGGUAGCCAAAUGCCUCGUCAUCUAAUUAGUGACGCGCAUGAAUGGAUUAACGAGAUUCCUACUGUCCCUAUCUACUAUCUAGCGAAACCACAGCCAAGGGAACGGGCUUGGAAUAAUUAGCGGGGAAAGAAGACCCUUUUGAGCUUGACUCUAAUCUGGCAGUGUAAGGAGACAUAAGAGGUGUAGAAUAAGUGGGAGAUAUUAGACCUCGGUUUGGUAUCGCCAAUGAAAUACCACUACUCUUAUUGUUUCCUUACUUACUUGAUUAAAUGGAACGUGUAUCAUUUCCUAGCCAUUAUACGGAUAUAUUUAUUAUAUCUUAUGGUAUUGGGUUUUGAUGCAAGCUUCUUGAUCAAAGUAUCACGAGUUUGUUAUAUAAUCGCAAACAAAUUCUUUAAUAAAACGGUGCAUUUAUGUAUUUUUGAUUUGAAAAUUUGGUAUAACUCCAAUUACUCAGGUAUGAUCCAAUUCAAGGACAUUGCCAGGUAGGGAGUUUGACUGGGGCGGUACAUCUCUCAAAUAAUAACGGAGGUGUCCCAAGGCCAGCUCAGUGCGGACAGAAACCACACAUAGAGCAAAAGGGCAAAUGCUGACUUGAUCUCGGUGUUCAGUACACACAGGGACAGCAAAAGCUCGGCCUAUCGAUCCUUUUGGUUUAAAGAGUUUUUAACAAGAGGUGUCAGAAAAGUUACCAUAGGGAUAACUGGCUUGUGGCGGCCAAGCGUUCAUAGCGACGUCGCUUUUUGAUCCUUCGAUGUCGGCUCUUCCUAUCAUUGUGAAGCAAAAUUCACCAAGCGUUGGAUUGUUCACCCAUGCAAGGGAACGUGAGCUGGGUUUAGACCGUCGUGAGACAGGUUAGUUUUACCCUACUAAUGACAAAACGUUGUUGCGACAGCAUUCCUGCGUAGUACGAGAGGAACCGCAGGUACGGACCAAUGGCACAAUACUUGUUCGAGCGAACAGUGGUAUGACGCUACGUCCGUUGGAUUAUGCCUGAACGCCUCUAAGGUCGUAUCCGUGCUGGACUGCAAUGAUAAAUAAGGGGCAAUUUGCAUUGUAUGGCUUCUAAACCAUUUAAAGUUUAUAAUUUACUUUUUAAACGACAAUGGAUGUGAUGCCAAUGUAAUUUGUAACAUAGUAAAUUGGGAGGAUCUUUGAUCACCUGAUGCCGCGCUAGUUACAUAUAAAAGCAUUAUUUAAUACAAUGACAAAGCCUAGAAUCAAUUGUAAACGACUUUUGUAACAGGCAAGGUGUUGUAAGUGGUUGAGCAGCUGCCAUACUGCGAUCCACUGAAGCUUAUCCUUUGCUUGAUGAUUCGA